rnacentral:rRNA from 1 species
GUGCACCAGUCGAGAAACCUCCGCAAUGCGGGAAACCGCGACGGGGGACCCCGAGUGCCGUGGCAACGCCACGGCUUUUCCGGAGUGUAAAAAGCUCCGGGAAUAAGGGCUGGGCAAGGCCGGUGGCAGCCGCCGCGGUAAUACCGGCGGCCCGAGUGGUGGCCGCUAUUAUUGGGCCUAAAGCGUCCGUAGCCGGGCCCGUAAGUCCCUGGCGAAAUCCCACGGCUCAACCGUGGGGCUUGCUGGGGGUACUGUGGGUCUUGGGACCGGGAGAGGCGGGGGGUACCCCUGGGGUAGGGGUGAAAUCCUAUAAUCCCAGGGGGACCGCCAGUGGCGAAGGCGCCCCGCUGGAACGGGUCCGACGGUGAGGGACGAAGGCCA